rnacentral:rRNA from 1 species
GAGGGUCCAAGCGUUAAUCGGAAUUACUGGGCGUAAAGCGCAUGCAGGUGGUUUGUUAAGUCAGAUGUGAAAGCCCGGGGCUCAACCUCGGAAUUGCAUUUGAAACUGGCAAACUAGAGUACUGUAGAGGGGGGUAGAAUUUCAGGUGUAGCGGUGAAAUGCGUAGAGAUCUGAAGGAAUACCGGUGGCGAAGGCGGCCCCCUGGACAGAUACUGACACUCAGAUGCGAAAGCGUGGGGAGCAAACAGGAUUAGAUACCCUGGUAGUCCACGCCGUAAACGAUGUCUACUUGGAGGUUGUGGCCUUGAGCCGUGGCUUUCGGAGCUAACGCGUUAAGUAGACCGCCUGGGGAGUACGGUCGCAAGAUUAAAACUCAAAUGAAUUGACGGGGGCCCGCACAAGCGGUGGAGCAUGUGGUUUAAUUCGAUGCAACGCGAAGAACCUUACCUACUCUUGACAUCUACAGAAGCCAGCGGAGACGCAGGUGUGCCUUCGGGAACUGUAAGACAGGUGCUGCAUGGCUGUCGUCAGCUCGUGUUGUGAAAUGUUGGGUUAAGUCCCGCAACGAGCGCAACCCUUAUCCUUGUUUGCCAGCACUUCGGGUGGGAACUCCAGGGAGACUGCCGGUGAUAAACCGGAGGAAGGUGGGGACGACGUCAAGUCAUCAUGGCCCUUACGAGUAGGGCUACACACGUGCUACAAUGGCGCAUACAGAGGGCGGCCAACUUGCGAAAGUGAGCGAAUCCCAAAAAGUGCGUCGUAGUCCGGAUUGGAGUCUGCAACUCGACUCCAUGAAGUCGGAAUCGCUAGUAAUCGUGGAUCAGAAUGCCACGGUGAAUACGUUCCCGGGCCUUGUACACACCGCCCGUCACACCAUGGGAGUGGGCUGCAAAAGAAGUGGGUAGUUUAACCUUCGGGAGGACGCUCACCACUUUGUGGUUCAUGACUGGGGUGAAGUCGUAACAAGGUAACCG